rnacentral:rRNA from 1 species
UACGGGGGGAGCAAGCGUUGUUCGGAUUUACUGGGCGUAAAGGGCGCGUAGGCGGCCACCGCAAGUCGACUGUGAAAUCUCCGGGCUUAACCCGGAAAGGUCAGCCGAUACUGCGGGGCUAGAGGUGCAGAAGGGGCAACUGGGAAUUCUCGGUGUAGCGGUGAAAUGCGUAGAUAUCGAGAGGAACACCUGCGGCGAAGGCGGGUUGCUGGGCUGACACUGACGCUGAUGCGCGAAAGCUAGGGGAGCGAACGGG